rnacentral:rRNA from 1 species
UACGUAGGGCGCAAGCGUUGUCCGGAAUUAUUGGGCGUAAAGAGCUCGUAGGCGGUUUGUCGCGUCUGUCGUGAAAGCUUGGGGCUUAACCCCAAGUCUGCGGUGGAUACGGGCAGACUAGAGGCAGGUAGGGGAGAACGGAAUUCCCGGUGUAGCGGUGAAAUGCGCAGAUAUCGGGAGGAACACCGGUGGCGAAGGCGGUUCUCUGGGCCUGUACUGACGCUGAGGAGCGAAAGCGUGGGAGCGAACAGG